CGCAAUGGACGAAAGUCUGACGCAGCAACGCCGCGUGAGGGAUGACGGCCUUCGGGUUGUAAACCUCUUUUGUCAGGGACGAUGAUGACGGUACCUGACGAAUAAGCCACGGCUAACUACGUGCCAGCAGCCGCGGUAAUACGUAGGUGGCAAGCGUUGUCCGGAUUUACUGGGCGUAAAGAGCGCGCAGGCGGUCGUUCAAGUCGCGUGUGAAAGCCCCCGGCUCAACUGGGGAGGGUCACGCGAUACUGAUCGACUCGAAGGCAGGAGAGGGUAGUGGAAUUCUCGGUGUAGUGGUGAAAUGCGUAGAUAUCGGGAGGAACACCAGUGGCGAAGGCGACUACCUGGCCUGUUUCUUGACGCUGAGGCGCGAAAGCUAGGGGAGCAAACGGGAUUAGAUACCCCGGUAGUCCUAGCCGUAAACGAUGGACACUAGGUGUUGGUGGUAUCAACCCCGCCAGUGCCGAAGCUAACGCAUUAAGUGUCCCGCCGUGGGGAGUACGGCCGCAAGGACUA
rnacentral:rRNA from 1 species